rnacentral:rRNA from 1 species
CAAAUAGCGUAUAUUAAAGUUGUUGCAGUUAAAAAGCUCGUAGUUGAAUUUCGGGGUUAGUAGGUUGGUCAUGCCUCUGGUAUGUACUGGUCUCACUGAUUCCUCCUUCCUGAUGAACCGUAAUGCCAUUAAUUUGGUGUUGCGGGGAAUUUGGACUGUUACUUUGAAAAAAUUAGAGUGUUUAAAGCAAGCUAACGCUUGAAUACAUUAGCAUGGAAUAAUGAAAUAGGACGUUCGAUCCUAUUUUGUUGGUUUCUAGGAUUGACGUAAUGAUUAAUAGGGAUAGUUGGGGGCAUUAGUAUUCAAUUGUCAGAGGUGAAAUUCUUGGAUUUAUUGAAGACUAACUACUGCGAAAGCAUUUGCCAAGGAUGUUUUCAUUAAUCAAGAACGAAAGUUAGGGGAUCGAAGACGAUCAGAUACCGUCGUAGUCUUAACCAUAAACUAUGCCGACUAGGGAUCGGAUGAUGUUAAUUUUUUAAUGACUCAUUUGGCGCCUUACG